AGAGUUUGAUCAUGGCUCAGGAUGAACGCUGGCGGCGUGCCUAAUACAUGCAAGUCGAACGCUUUGUGGUUCACUGAUUUGAAGAGCUUGCUCAGAUAUGAUGAUGGACAUUGCAAAGAGUGGCGAACGGGUGAGUAACACGUGGGAAACCUACCUCUUAGCAGGGGAUAACAUUUGGAAACAAAUGCUAAUACCGUAUAACAAUGACAACCGCAUGGUUGUUAUUUAAAAGAUGGUUCUGCUAUCACUAAGAGAUGGUCCCGCGGUGCAUUAGCUAGUUGGUAAGGUAAUGGCUUACCAAGGCGAUGAUGCAUAGCCGAGUUGAGAGACUGAUCGGUCACAAUGGGACUGAGACACGGCCCAUACUCCUACGGGAGGCAGCAGUAGGGAAUCUUCCACAAUGGGCGAAAGCCUGAUGGAGCAACGCCGCGUGUGUGAUGAAGGGUUUCGGCUCGUAAAACACUGUUGUAAGAGAAGAAUGACAUUGAGAGUAACUGUUCAAUGUGUGACGGUAUCUUACCAGAAAGGAACGGCUAAAUACGUGCCAGCAGCCGCGGUAAUACGUAUGUUCCAAGCGUUAUCCGGAUUUAUUGGGCGUAAAGCGAGCGCAGACGGUUAUUUAAGUCUGAAGUGAAAGCCCUCAG
rnacentral:rRNA from 1 species